rnacentral:lncRNA from 1 species
AAUAUAUUUUUCAUUUUAAAUCUUUCUCAUCAUUGACUUUUUAUUGUUCUUGGAUCUCUAUAUUUCCAGGGCGCUUACUGCUGCCACCAAGACUGCUGUUGAAAUUGUUGCAAUCAGGCCCGGAACUUCAGAAUCCAGGGACACGGGUAGCACCAUCAUUGUGGCAUAUUUUGUCUACACCAACGGGACUGCUCUGACCUCUGUUCAAGUGGACACGAUGCUGUCUGAUCCUGAACAUUUUCUUGUGCUGGGACAGCUCGGCCUCAAGAACAUUGGGAAGGCUCCUGUGAAAGAACCCGACACGGACCCUGUGAAGUACAUCUUGCUGGGGAUAGUGGGAGGCCUCGUCAUCGUACUGGGUGUCCUCAUCACUUCCCUAAUGUGCACUCGCAGAACCUACGGGAGGAAACUGAAGGCAGCUAAAGCCAUGAACUCUGCAUCCAUGAUGACUUCUGACAACCAGAAAGGUGGCGCUGUAGUGCCUGGAACCAACAAAUACACCAUGGAGGGGGCUAAUCCAGUUCUCAACCUCAACAUCGACACGGCCAUGAUCCUGGGAUUGGACGAGGAGAGCUCAGAUGUGGACAAAGUCAGGUAAAUAAUUAGUCUCUGUGACUCUCUCCAUCAUCUGUUGAUAGCAAUGAUUCA